rnacentral:other from 1 species
GCUUUCGCUCGUAGGGUACAGAGGUAAGAUGUUCUAUCUUAACAAACCUUAUUCGAUCACUUCGCGUGGUCAGCCAAAUUUUUAUGGCGCCCCGGUGACUUAGGUCACCGGGGUUUUUUCUU